GACGAACGCUGGCGGCGUGCUUAACACAUGCAAGUCGAACGAGCUUAAGAGAAGCUUGCUUUUCUUAAGCGAGUGGCGGACGGGUGAGUAACGCGUGAGUAACUUGCCUCGGACUGGGGAAUAACACAGGGAAACUUGUGCUAAUACCGCAUAAUGUGCGAGAGGGGCAUCCCUUUUGCGACCAAAGGAGCAAUCCGGUCUGAGAUGGACUCGCGUCCGAUUAGAUAGUUGGUGAGGUAACGGCCCACCAAGUCCU
rnacentral:rRNA from 1 species